CGAACAGUUGAGAUUCAGACUGCAGCUGAACGAUCAGACUGGAGAUCUCACCAUCACAAACAUCACAACCGCACACACUGGACUUUAUAAAGUACAGAUCAGCAGAAACACAAUAUCAUUUAAUAUAUUCAAUGUGACUGUUUAUGCUCGUCUGCCGGUUCCUGUGAUCAUCAGAGACUCUUCUCAAUGUUCUUCAAGCUCUAAAUGUGUGUUGGUGUGUUCAGUGGUGAAUGUGACACAGGUGACUCUCUCCUGGUACAAAGGAAACAGUUUAUUGUCCUCCAUCAGUGUGUCUGAUCUCAACAGAAGUCUCUCUCUACAUCUGGAGGUGGAAUAUCAGGAGAACAACAUCUACAGCUGUGUGAUCAACAAUCCCAUCAGAAACCAGACUAAACAUCUCAACAUUACUGAAGUCUGUCAGCCGUGUUCAGGUGAUUGUGUUCACUGUUGUGCUUUCACUGAAGCUGUGAUCCGAUUGGUCCUCUCUGCUCUGGUGGGCGUGGCUUCUGUUGUUGUACUAGUUUAUGACAUCAUAUCCAGAAG